GUCAACGCCGUAAACGAUGGGUACUAGGUGUCUGGGGGAGCGACCCCCUGGGUGCCGGCGCUAACGCAUGAAGUACCCCGCCUGGGGAGUACGGCCGCAAGGCUGAAACUCAAAGGAAUUGACGGGGGCCCGCACAAGCGGUGGAGCAUGUGGUUUAAUUCGACGCAACGCGAAGAACCUUACCUGGGCUUGACAUGCUGGAGAAAGCUCGCAGAAACGUGAGCCCCUCUUCGGAGUUCCAGCACAGAUGCUGCAUGGCUGUCGU
rnacentral:rRNA from 1 species